GGAACAACAUCAUUACCGACAGGAAACACUGCCGAGAUGGCUCUACUCUUGUGAAAUGGAAUGCAAGUUGAGAGAUGCAAAAGGAAGGAAACGGGAGAUGGAAGAGAGAGGGUAGGAUGUCUAAAAGGUGUCCGGAAACUGAACCUCCCUCGCAUUUCCAACGUGAAAACAAAAGGUG
ensembl:ncRNA F12D9.3 ncRNA